GAGUUUGAUCCUGGCUCAGGAUGAACGCUAGCGACAGGCUUAACACAUGCAAGUCGAGGGGCAGCGGGGAGCAAGCUUGCUUGCUCUGCCGGCGACCGGCGCACGGGUGAGUAACACGUAUGCAACCUGCCCUCCGCAGGGGGAUAACCCGGAGAAAUCCGGACUAAUACCGCGUGGUACACUUGUGGGGCAUCCCACGGGUGUUAAAAGGAAGUGAUUCCGGCGGAGGAUGGGCAUGCGGCGCAUUAGCUAGUUGGCGGGGUAACGGCCCACCAAGGCGACGAUGCGUAGGGGUUCUGAGAGGAAGGUCCCCCACACUGGUACUGAGACACGGACCAGACUCCUACGGGAGGCAGCAGUGAGGAAUAUUGGUCAAUGGGCGGGAGCCUGAACCAGCCAAGUCGCGUGAGGGAAGACGGUCCUAUGGAUUGUAAACCUCUUUAGGCGGGGAGCAAUGCCGGGCACGUGUGCCCGGAGGGAGAGUACCCGUAGAAUAGGCAUCGGCUAACUCCGUGCCAGCAGCCGCGGUAAUACGGAGGAUGCGAGCGUUAUCCGGAUUUAUUGGGUUUAAAGGGUGCGUAGGCGGAUUUUUAAGUCAGCGGUAAAAUGUCCG
rnacentral:rRNA from 1 species